ensembl:lncRNA
AUACUAUAGAAGGCAGCUCGCGAGCGUAUCUAGUCUGCUAUAUACAUCUGUGGUCGGCACGUGUGGUUGCAUCUCUGGCUGCUGUUGAUCUUGUUUUUGGAGUAAAACACGAUGCACAAUGAGGGACGUCUGCAGAGACUGAGAAAGAGUCUCACCACAUCCUGACAUGAGGAAAAAGACUUGAUUGAAGACUACAAUGAGAAAAACUAUCAGACAGCAGACGGCUGCAUUCAAGGUGAGCUCUGAACAUUUGAUCUGGAACAGGAAUUCAAUAACGGCAGCAUGAGCUUCAUUUCAGUCUGUAGCUGCUGAAUUCAUGGAUGAAUCAUCUGGCACUAGAGAGGAAGACCAUCAAACAUCCACGUCAGCUGAUGGAGGUCCAAGAGUCUCACCCAACAAACAACCUACAGAGUGAAGACCUUGAAUCUG